GCGCGAAAACUUUACAAUGCUGGCAACAGCGAUAAGGGAACCUCGAGUGCCAGGUUACAAAUCUGGCUGUCGAGAUGCCUAAAAAGCAUUUCAUAGCAAGGGCCGGGCAAGACCGGUGCCAGCCGCCGCGGUAACACCGGCGGCUCGAGUGGUAACCGUUAUUAUUGGGUCUAAAGGGUCUGUAGCCGGCCGGAUAAGUCUCUUGAGAAAUCUGGCAGCUUAACUGUCAGGCUUUCAGGAGAUACUGUCUGGCUCGAGGCCGGGAGAGGUGAGAGGUACUUCAGGGGUAGGGGUGAAAUCUUGUAAUCCUUGAAGGACCACCAGCGGCGAAGGCGUCUCACCAGAACGGACCUGACGGCAAGGGACGAAAGCUAGGGGCACGAACCG
rnacentral:rRNA from 1 species